rnacentral:lncRNA from 1 species
GAGAAAAGGGCCUAGGGCACAUCUGUGAAGAAAUCUGAACUCAUCAACACAACCAUCUUGGAGACUUCUUCCCAGGAAAGACAAAAAAAGAUUAAUUUCCUAACUCAGAGAUAAAGGCGGAGUGUCUACGUAAUGUCUCCUCAACAAAGCGCCCUAAAUCCUCACUGGGAACCAUCUGGAAUCACCCCGCAAAGCUUCGGGGAGUUCCUCCGGAGUCUGGGGAUUUAACAGAACUACUGCAAGCGAGCGCCUGCGGGCCCCUGCUCUCUCAGGCGCACGCCCUGCACCGCACUGCUGCCCACGUCAGGACUACGAGUGCGAGCGCCUGCGGGCUACUGCUCUCUCAGGUGCACGCCCUGCACCGUACAGCUCCCUACGUCAGGAACACGCGCGCCAGGGCCUACAAAUGGGGCGGCUGCUCUAUCUCCCGCCUCGGGGCGUGCCUACACCGCCCCGCGCGUCAAACUGCACCGGGCUUCGCGGCCCCGUGCGUGAUUAGCCCCGUCUUCCAGGGCUCCCUAGGUUUUCUGUGUCGCUGGCUCCCCGCUGCGGCACCCAGUCCCUUGCAUCCCUCCCGCCACGCACACCAGAGGAAGGCGGAAUCUAGUGAGUCCCGUCACGUGGGCGCUGGGUGAGCAGAAGCGG